rnacentral:rRNA from 1 species
AUUGAACGCUGGCGGCAGGCCUAACACAUGCAAGUCGAGCGAGCGGCGGACGGGGGAGUAAUGUAUGGGGACUGCCUGAUAGAGGGGGAUAACUACUGGAAACGGUAGCUAAUACCGCAUACUAGCGGAUAACCCAUAUGGGAUUGGCUAGUAGGUGAGGUAAUGGCUCUCCUAGGCGACGAUCCCUAGCUGGUCUGAGAGGAUGAUCAGCCACAUGGGGGUUGAGACAGUGCCCCGACGCCUACGGAGGCAGCAGUGGCGAAUAUGGGACAAUGGGCGCAAGCCUGAUGCAGCCAUGCCGAGUGUAUGAAGAAGGCCCUAGGGUUGUAAAGUACUUUCAGUCGGGAGGCGUUACCGACAGAAGAAGCACCGGCUAACUCCGUGCCAGCAGCCGCGGUAAUAC